rnacentral:rRNA from 1 species
UACGUAGGCAGCGAGCGUUGUUCGGAGUUACUGGGCGUAAAGGGUGCGUAGGCGGUUGUUUAAGUUUGGUGUGAAAUCUCCCGGCUCAACCGGGAGGUGCGCCGAAUACUGAAUGACUAGAGUGCGGGAGAGGAAAGUGGAAGUUCUGGUGUAGCGGUGAAAUGCGUAGAUAUCAGGAGGAACACCGGUGGUGUAGACGGCUUUCUGGACCGUAACUGACGCUGAGGCACGAAAGCGUGGGUAGCAAACAGG